rnacentral:rRNA from 1 species
UUCCGGUUGAUCCCGCCGGACCCGACUGCUAUUUGGGUGAGGAUAAGCCAUGCGAGUUGAAUGGGAAACCUAAAAAUCCCAUGGCAAACUGCUCAGUAACACAUGAUCAACUUACCCUAUAGAGGAAAAUAACCUCGGGAAACUGAGGAUAAUGUUCCAUAGUUGAAUCGGCUUGGAAAAGUUUUUCAAUAAAAGGGAUAAGGAAAAUGGUCCUUAUCUGCUAUAGGAUAGGAUCGUGCUCGAUUAUGGUUGUUGGUGAGGUAAAGGCUCACCAAGCCGAUAAUCGAUAGGGGCCGUGAGAGCGGGAGCCCCGAGAUGGGUACUGAGACAACGACCCAGGCCUUACGAGGCGCAGCAGGCGCGAAACCUCCGCAAUACACGAAAGUGUGACGGGGUUACCCAAAGUGUUCAUUAGAACUGUGGUAGGUGAGUAAUGUUCCCUACUAGAAAGGAGAGGGCAAGGCUGGUGCCAGCCGCCGCGGUAAAACCAGCUCUUCAAGUGGUCGGGAUAAUUAUUGGGCUUAAAGUGUCCGUAGCCGGUUUAGUAAGUUCCUGGUAAAAUCGGGUAGCUUAACUAUCUAUAUGCUAGGAAUACUGCUAUACUAGAGGGCGGGAGAGGUCUGAGGUACUACAGGGGUAGGGGUGAAAUCUUAUAAUCCUUGUAGGACCACCAGUGGCGAAGGCGUCAGACUGGAACGCGCCUGACGGUGAGGGACGAAAGCCAGGGGAGCGAACCGGAUUAGAUACCCGGGUAGUCCUGGCCGUAAACGAUGCAUACUAGGUGAUGGCACGGCCAUGAGCCGUGUCAGUGCCGUAGGGAAACCGUUAAGUGUGCCGCCUGGGAAGUACGGUCGCAAGGCUAAAACUUAAAGGAAUUGGCGGGGGAGCACCACAAGGGGUGAAGCCUGCGGUUCAAUUGGAUUCAACGCCGGAAAUCACUAGUGCGGCCG